UCUAAAUGGAAAAGAGAGAGAGAGUGAGAGAAGAAAAACCCUUAAACAAUGAGUGAUAGAUAAUACUCAGUACACCAGCGAGACCUCAGAACAGCUCCCAGGAUGGUAGGUGUGUUAAAAGCACUGUUACCAAUGUGGAUACCAACCGUUAGCAAUGACACCAAAGUGUGUAAAGCAACACAGCCCUCUGAAGACCAGGAAUGAAGAAGACGGUAAGGAAGAAGAUAUAGACAAAGGAGUGUUUAUCUUCCAGAGAAGUCCUAGACAACACAGUCCUAUGUCCUGGCUCAACCCCCACAGCUCCCUUUGGGCACAGAAGAUAGAAGGAGAUGCUCUGUGGUGCUGCUGCAUCUGCAGAAGUGCUUUACCUCCAGCCUUACAGGUCCCCAUAAUACACUGCAGGAACCCACAGCAUGAAAUGGGCAACACAAAAGGCUCUUGUGUCUUGGUACUCAGCACACUCAGCCUUUACCUCCCAGAGGGCACCAGUGGCAAUGGCCUGACAUAUUACGGUGACUGUCGGUUGUUAUCCAACUUCUUCUAUGUGUGCUGAGUCCAGUGAGAAAAGAAGUCAGCAGCCACAGUUCUCACUGAUUUGCAUCCUCUCUCUUCAGCUCUUACCUAUACCCUUCUACCAUCUUUCUUUUCUUAGUAACUGUGAAUUUACUACCCACAGUGUUUUAGACUUUCCUAGGAUACACAGCGAUCAAGAACUCCUAAAUAGAUCUUAAACCAAACUCAAGAAAAACAGACAACAAAACGUCAACAAAUAGACCAGAUAUCACAUAAAUAUGAACAUGCUAGAGGACAGCAGAAGAGCAUAACACCACGUUUUAUUCUGUCUCGAAUAAAAUUGGAGCCUCAAUAGCAUAAAACUGCAAAGGUGUCAGAAAAGUUAUUCUUUUGAUGUCUUGCUUAUGAUAAAAUUGUAUUGCAUGUAUUAUUAACAUAUUACAGAACUAGAUUCAGUUCAGCUUCUUCCUAAGGGAAGUCUUCAGACAUGAAUACUGGCUGUGGACAGGUUUUAGACUGACACAGACACUUAUCAAAAACUCCCAUUUGGACCUUAAACCAAACUGGAGAAAAACAGACAAUGAAUGCCAAUAAGUAAAGAAGCUCACGUACAAAUGUGGUUACUGUUAGGAUGGGUACUGUGUGAAUGGGUAGAGAUAUAGCAGCAGCUGAAGUCAGUGCCUCAAAACUAGGUUAUAAAAAGACAUUGGAGCUGUGACCCAGGAUGGAGCAUGGUCCACAGCCCCUCUGGGGUCAGAGCUGUCCAGUAUUCCAGAAAAAGCAAGAACAACAAUGGCUCGGAGAAGGUAGCAGAGCUUUGGGGUGGGGAGCUUCUUUGUGAGAGAGUUUCACUCAGUAUCUCAACCUAGAAUUCACUAUGUGACAGUGCCUUACCCUGACCUCAUGACAAUCUUCUCACCUCAGCCUCUUGAACAGAUAUAUCCCACCACAUCCAGCUUGAGUCUGGCUUCUUCAAAUAAUACAACGUUUACAAGCAAGAAAAAGUUAUCAGAAGACCAAAGUAGGUUUAAAUAAAAUCCAGCUCUACAGUUCCAACGAAGAAUACCUGUACAGCUAUGCUAGAGUAAAAAGUCUCCCAACCCUAGAGAGGCUGGAUGAAGGGGAAGUAGAAAUGCGCUGCUAUGUGGGGCUCAAUGCCCAUCACAGUUUUCUGUUGUGACUGAAUGUUUCCUGCCUCACAGAGAAGUUCUGCCUUUUCAAAACACAACAAUAUCCCUUCUGAACUUGAUGGUUACAGUGAACUGUUAUCUCAGUAACCAGCAAGUACUCAGUAUUGUGGGGACACUAACAAUGGGAGCGAGGAUUACAGCACGUGUCAUUUAUAGUGGAGAUGACACAGAAAUCCUAUUUUAUGAUAAUGAGAAAACGCCAACCCUUACACAUAUAAAAGAAGUUGAAAGCUACAUUAGUUACAAAGAACAUUUUCCCUUACCACAGAGGGUUUCAUGUAGGUUAGGCUGGCCUUAAACUCCUUACAUAGUUGAAGUUAGACUUGAAUUUCUAAUCCUUCUGCCUCCGUCUUCAGAGUGGAAUAAUAACAGGCAUGUAUUACCAUAACUACACAUAUUUUGCAUUUUGUAAACUUCUUUUUUCGGGUAUCAGUGCUUUGGACGGGAAAAACAGUGGAGAGAUGGCUCAGCGUUUAAGAGCAUGUACUAUUUAUUCUUUGAGAGAACCAUAAUUCAGUUCCAAGCACCCACUUGGGAUAGUUCACAACCACCUAUAACUUCAGUUCUAGGGGAUCUGAGGCCUGUCAUGGUCCCUGAAGGCACAUGUGCUUCUGUAUAAAACCAACAAUGGAAUGCUCCCAAUGGCCUGCUUCCAUAAGCCAGGCUCCACUGAUUUGUACCUGGUACCUCUUAUGUACUUUGUGCGUGUGCACUGUGGAGGUAAGAGGACAAUUUUUGGGAAUAGACUCUUUCCUUGCUCUAUGUGGGUCCUGGGGGUUGAAUUCUGGCAGUUAAUGGCAAGUGUCUUGCACUCUGAGCCAUUUUGCUCUUCUCAGGCCUCACUAAGUGUUUUUCACCCCUUAGUUAGACCACUCACAGGGCCUUCAGUUUCAUGCACUCACAAGCACUCUGACCCCCAUGGUACCCUCUGUGCUCCUAGCCCUUCUGACUGUGGGAAUGAACCUGCUAUCCCCUUGCACUUCCUGCUCUUAAAAAAUGACACAUGUGGAGAUCACAUGUCCGUGUAGCAAUGUAUCAAUCACUUCAUGUGGAGAUCACAUGUCCGUGUAGCAAUGUGUCAAUCACUUCACGCAGACAUAGAUGGAAACUACUUUCCCUCUGAAUGGCUGGUUUCUAAGCUAUGUAAGAAGACUCCCUCUUAAGACACUCAAAUCUAUUAAAUACAACACACAAUUGCCACAUUUCUACUCUAAACAGAGCACUGCAUAGACUACGCAUGGGGAGGCCAAAGGCUCUGUAAGGGUUCUGAGGACUAGAAUAAAUAGACUGGGGAAAGCCAUGAACUCUGAGAGUGGAGAGGAGAGGAGGGGGUGGCUAGCUCAGGCUUGGGAAAGCACAGAAAGCUUACAGGAAAGGUGAAUUUCUGUGGCGCUCUAAAGGAUAGGUCAUUGGAAAGGAAUUUUUGGGGGUUGGGGAAAAUAGGUUGGAGUAAACUACAUCCUGAAGAGAAAAACAAAAGUUACUAGAAUUACUACAAUCACAGGUUUAAUAUGAACUUUAGACGGGAAUGUCAAGAGAUUAAAAAACUCCUAAGGAAAGAAAACAUGAGCAAAAUGAAUCACCUUAGUCCACCAUAUUGAAAGCCACUGUCAGUAUUUUUCCUCAGAAAAGCAUAAUCAAGGGAAAACUUGACUGAGAAUAGUUCAUCUAAAAUGCUAUUAAACACUGAGUUGCAGAAAAUAUUUGAGAGAAAUAACUCGUAAGUGCCUAACUUUGAUAAACUAAAAAUUACAGAGUAUGUCCUCCUGAGGUAACGUAGACAUAGCUAUGCUCCUUCCAGAAAAACAGCAAGUUAAUCAGCAGAAGUGUGGAGAAGGGUCCAGCAGAGUGCUCACUGGGUAAGUAAAUGUGCUUGUUGCUGGUUCCAAGGACCUGGGUUGGAUUCCUGGAAGGAGAGAAGCAGUUCCUAUAGGCUGUCCUGAAGUUAUCCUCUGAUGUCUACUCAGAUGGUGAGCCUUCAAGCCUUCCAGAUAGAUAGGCAGGCAGACAGACAGACAGACAGACAGACAAAACAGACAGGCAGGCAGGCAAAUAGACAGACAGACAGGCAGAUAUGGAUAUAGGUUAAGAUAGACAUAAAACAACCUUUUUAAAGUCAAGAAGGUCAAAUGAAAAGCAUUAUACAAAUUCAAAUAUAAUAAAACGAAGGCAAAGCUAGUGGUAAAUUACUGUAGUCCCUGUACUUGGGAGGCUAAUGCAGGGGAGAAUGGAGUUUCAGACAAGGUUGAGCUACACAGCAAGGCCUUGUCCUCUUACCAAAACAAAGCAAAAUAAAUCUAAUGUAAACCUUUAAAAUACAAAGAAAAGCCUUAAAAAGAAAAAAAAAAGCAAGCACGAGGAACAGCAAGGCACUCUUACUCUAAUUUCCCACUAAGGCAUGAAUCAACUGUGCUCAGGAGUCAGAACUAGACAGAAAGCUGUGGCAUUUAGGAUUAACAGAUAUCAAACCCACUCCCAACUCUGCAAGCACAAAGGCCCAGACAAGCAUCAGAGCUGUUAUUAGCAAAAGGCAGCUGAGAGGAUUUCUCCAAAUGCCAAGUCAUACAGUUGAUAACUCUUAAAAACAAACAAGAAGGGGGGGGGGCACUGGGAGAGACUGUGGACGAGGAUCACAGAGAGGCACUGGGGAACAGUGUACGUCUUCACAGACCCCACCUACGAACAGUUCCCUACCUACUCCAUCCCUCCCCUUUGCCUCUCUUACAACCCUAGUGGAGUAACCAAGGCCUUGUUCCUAUAAGCCACAUCCCCAGCCCUCUGCAAUAUUCUUAAACUGUGUUUGAAGCAAACAAAACCCAAAACCCUAACUGAAUAUAGUAAUUGUAAAAUGCCAGACUCUUACUUUUUUUUAAUCAUUUAAGUUUCCUUAGACCGAGGCACCCUCCUCCCGAUGAGAGCUCUGACCUUGGUGUAUUUGUGUGUUUGCUUCUCUGUGGCUCUGGGACCUCACACAUGCUGGGCAUGUGCUCUACCAAGGAGACACCAGCCUCAGAGUUACAAGCUUCUUAUUAAAGCCACCAGUGUGCUUUUCUCCAAAAUACCUUAGGUAUAGCCAGUCAUGGGAUGCCAGAUAUGAUUGCAUUUGUAUAAAAUGUUCAGAAUACACAAGUCUAUAGACAAAUUAAAUUAGUGGUUGCCUGGAAUUGGAACUUGGAGAAGGUCAGGAUUGGUAGGAGUGAGUGAGGCUGGUGGGCACAGGGUUUCUGUUGAGGGGAUGAAAGGAUCCUAACACUGACUAUGGUGAUGGCCUCAGUGUCAAGACAAUACAAAGGAGGAAAUACUUCUACGGUAUCUAAAUAUUACUUCAAUAAAGCUACUAGUAAAAAAAACUGUAUAAACUACUUGUUAAUGUUUUUUAAAGAGAACCUAAAAGUUCCAGGCAUGAGAAAAUGUGGUCAGAAAAGAUGAAAACUUUUUACAUUAUUUGAUUGGCAUUCCUAUAUAUACCAAGUACAGGUAAAAACUAUUUAGGAAUAUAGAAUUACAGUUCUUGUAACAAAAAGGCUAUGGUCUGCAUUAUAUAAAGUAACCAAAACUAUUAAAAUGACACAGUCCAUCAUAAUUCUUGCCAUAUGCAGAAGGAUCUUGCUCUGAGGAGAUGAAAUCUGACCGGGUAACAAUUGUGGAAAAGCCACCAGAAUCACAGCAGAUCUGUGUGUCUGUGUUCUUUGUUGCUUCUCUCUACCAUCCCAAACAAAACAACAGAAACCUGAUCCCUCCCAGUACAGACGCUGCAGUCCUCUGUCUGCCCUGGUCCUUCCAUUACAGCACAUUUCGCUUCUUCAGUAACUCACAUCUGUCUGCUUUCUCAGACUUGCUGUGAGUGAACUGGGAUGGCAGCUUGUGAGACUGCAACGAGCAAUCUCUUCAGGCCUUUGACCUUUCACCCACGGUGUGGUGUGGAGACACCAACAGGACUGCACGAGUAGGAACUCUGCUCCCCUGAUUCAGGCCCUGCCCAGCUAAGGGCUGCAGAGAGGCAGGGCCAGUCACUUCAUCUCAUUCCUCAACUAAGCAGUGAGAGAAUGUGCCCACAGCAAGAUUCCUUCAUGUUCUCAACUUUGAUUCCCUACUUGAAAUCUGUCUUAAGAGAUGCUCCGAGAACUGCUCUUCCGUUCACAUACACGCUGAGCCGUGCAGGCCCACCUCACUGGUACUGGCUUCAGGCUCACUGUCGUGUUCACCUCUGCCCAUAUUGCAGACAUUUCAAGAAACAGAACUUCCAUGUGAUCUGAACCAGCCAAAAAGGAAGAGGGAGGGAAAGCGGUGGCAGCCUUUUGAGCAGCAUCUUAACCACCAAAAUAUUUGAAGAAGUUAUUUCCUUCAGAAAGCUGUAAAGGAAGAGGAAAGCUAAACUCAGCAAAGGAGUAUUCUCUAGCAAGGCCUGCGGCAGGCCACAGUUCCGUGCCAUGUGGGAUGCAUGGCGUCAUUACCCACGGCUAACAUUCUCCCUUAGGCUCUGCUGGAAAUGUUUCCCAAACAAACUAGUGUCAUAAAAAUAAAGGUGAAUAUUAUUUACAUCAAACUCUAAGUACUACAAAGAUUGCAGGAACUUAAAAAGGACUCAAAGGAUGCUACAUACGAGGAAAUUGAGAGAAGACCGCCAUCUAUGGUAAACCGUUAAUGCCUACAAUGAAUUAUUUCCCUGAGAGAGACCACAGAGCACCAGAAUAUAAAACUUACUUGGUUCUAGCUUCUUCAGGUCCUCCAGCUUAAACUCUUCUUGGGACUGUGUGGACUAAAUUUAAAAUAUGCACAUUACAUCUUUUUACUACAAAGACUUCACUGUACCCUAUGUCCCUUAAGUGGCAAAAACCAAAUAUUUAAAAUUAUUCAAAAUCUAUUUCUUGCUUUCAUAGUAGAAAAUGAACAGUGCCAAACUGGGUUUUGCAUUUUUGAAACAUUCAGGCUAAAAGUAAUAGAAAAAAUUAAAGUUCUAUCUUUGACUGCUAUAGUUUACAAACUACAUACUCAUGUAAGUAUGCAUGCUACUGACAAACUCCCAUAAUUGUAAAACUCUUCUGAGAGGACACAGCUUUUGCCAUGAAUGCCUAAUGUUUCCGAAAAACAAUCCUAUUAGAAAGCUAAAAAAAAAAAAAAAAAAAAAAAAAAAAAACCAAAAACAAAAAAAAAAAACCAAAAACAAAAAAACAAAACAAAACAAAACCACAACACUACAACACCACCACCAGCAACAACAAACGUUCCACUUGCCUGUAAUGCUGCACUUCGCAAUUCCAAACAUGUUGCAAUUUUGCCGAUGGUUUUCUGUAGGGAUAAAAAUAAAAAAACAUAAAAUCAGGAACUUUCUUUUUAGAUAAUGAAUUACUUUUUUUUUUUGGUCCUUUUUUUUGGAGCUGGGGACCGAAUCCAGGGCCUUGCGCUUCCUAGGCAAGCGCUCUGCCACUGAGCUAAAUCCCCAACCCAGGAACUUUCUUUUUAACCAGUAAGAGGUUUCUAGUUCUUUUUUUUUUUUUU